rnacentral:rRNA from 1 species
GACGAACGCUGGCGGCGUGCCUAAUACAUGCAAGUUGAGCGAUGAAGAUUGGUGCUUGCACCAAUUUGAAGAGCAGCGAACGGGUGAGUAACGCGUGGGGAAUCUGCCUUUGAGCGGGGGACAACAUUUGGAAACGAAUGCUAAUACCGCAUAACAACUUUAAACAUAAGUUUUAAGUUUGAAAGAUGCAAUUGCAUCACUCAAAGAUGAUCCCGCGUUGUAUUAGCUAGUUGGUGAGGUAAAGGCUCACCAAGGCGAUGAUACAUAGCCGACCUGAGAGGGUGAUCGGCCACAUUGGGACUGAGACACGGACCAAACUCCUACGGGAGGCAGCAGUAGGGAAUCUUCGGCAAUGGACGAAAGUCUGACCGAGCAACGCCGCGUGAGUGAAGAAGGUUUUCGGAUCGUAAAACUCUGUUGGUAGAGAAGAACGUUGGUGAGAGUGGAAAGCUCAUCAAGUGACGGUAACUACCCAGAAAGGGACGGCUAACUACGUG